UACAGAGGUCCCGAGCGUUGUUCGGAUUUAUUGGGCGUAAAGGGUGCGUAGGCGGCGGAGUAAGUUGGGUGUGAAAUCCCGAGGCUCAACCUCGGAAUUGCAUUCAAUACUGCUUCGCUCGAGUACUGGAGAGGAGGCUGGAAUUUACGGUGUAGCAGUGAAAUGCGCAGAUAUCGGGAAGAACACCCGUGGCGAAGGCGGUUCUCUGGGACGGUACUGACGCUGAGACGCGAAAGCGUGGGGAGCGAACAGG
rnacentral:rRNA from 1 species